rnacentral:rRNA from 1 species
GUGAGGAAUAUUGGACAAUGGGCGCAAGCCUGAUCCAGCCAUGCCGCGUGCAGGAAGACGCAUCUAUGGUGUGUAAACUGCUUUUGUACGGGAAGAAACACUCCCUCGUGAGGAAGCUUGACGGUACCGUAAGAAUAAGGAUCGGCUAACUCCGUGCCAGCAGCCGCGGUAAUACGGAGGAUCCAAGCGUUAUCCGGAAUCAUUGGGUUUAAAGGGUCCGUAGGCGGUUUAAUAAGUAAGUGGUGAAAGCCCAUCGCUCAACGAUGGAACGGCCAUUGAUACUGUUAGACUUGAAUUACAAGGAAGUAACUAGAAUAUGUAGUGUAGCGGUGAAAUGCUUAGAUAUUACAUGGAAUACCAAUUGCGAAGGCAGGUUACUACUUGUGGAUUGACGCUGAUGGACGAAAGCGUGGGGAGCGAACAGGAUUAGAAACCCGGGUAGUCC